rnacentral:rRNA from 7 species
GACACGACUCUCGGCAAUGGAUAUCUCGGCUCUUGCAUCGAUGAAGAGCGCAGCGAAAUGCGAUACGUGGUGCGAAUUGCAGAAUCCCGUGAAC